rnacentral:rRNA from 1 species
AGAGUUUGAUCCUGGCUCAGGAUGAACGCUAGCGGCAGGCUUAACACAUGCAAGUCGAGGGGUAACGGGGAAGCUUGCUUCCGCCGACGACCGGCGCACGGGUGCGUAACGCGUAUACAAUCUACCUUAUACUGGGGUAUAGCCUUUAGAAAUGAAGAUUAACCCCCCAUAGUCUCUUAGAGUGGCAUCACUUCUAGAGUAAAGGUUACGGUAUAAGAUGAGUAUGCGUUCUAUUAGUUUGUUUGUGUGGUAACGGCACACCAAGACUACGAUAGAUAGGGGCCCUGAGAGGGGGAUCCCCCACACUGGUACUGAGACACGGACCAGACUCCUACGGGAGGCAGCAGUGAGGAAUAUUGGACAAUGGAGGCAACUCUGAUCCAGCCAUGCCGCGUGCAGGAAGACUGCCCUAUGGGUUGUAAACUGCUUUUAUACAGGAAGAAACACCUCUACGUGUAGAGGCUUGACGGUACUGUAAGAAUAAGGAUCGGCUAACUCCGUGCCAGCAGCCGCGGUAAUACGGAGGAUCCAAGCGUUAUCCGGAAUCAUUGGGUUUAAAGGGUCCGUAGGUGGAUAAUUAAGUCAGAGGUGAAAUCUUGCAGCUCAACUGUAAAAUUGCCUUUGAAACUGGUUAUCUUGAGUUAUUAUGAAGUAGUUAGAAUAUGUAGUGUAGCGGUGAAAUGCAUAGAUAUUACAUAGAAUACCAAUUGCGAAGGCAGAUUACUAAUAAUCAACUGACACUGAUGGACGAAAGCGUGGGUAGCGAACAGGAUUAGAUACCCUGGUAGUCCACGCCGUAAACGAUGGUUACUAGCUAUUUGGACUUCGGUCUGAGUGGCUAAGCGAAAGUGAUAAGUAACCCACCUGGGGAGUACGUUCGCAAGAAUGAAACUCAAAGGAAUUGACGGGGGCCCGCACAAGCGGUGGAGCAUGUGGUUUAAUUCGAUGAUACGCGAGGAACCUUACCAGGGCUUAAAUGUAAGUUGCAUUAGCUAGAGAUAGCUAUUUCUUCGGACCACUUACAAGGUGCUGCAUGGUUGUCGUCAGCUCGUGCCGUGAGGUGUCAGGUUAAGUCCUAUAACGAGCGCAACCCCUGUUGUUAGUUGCCAGCGAGUCAUGUCGGGAACUCUAACAAGACUGCCAGUGCAAACUGUGAGGAAGGUGGGGAUGACGUCAAAUCAUCACGGCCCUUACGUCCUGGGCUACACACGUGCUACAAUGGUAGGUACAGAGAGCAGCCACUGCGCGAGCAGGAGCGAAUCUAUAAAACCUAUCACAGUUCGGAUCGGAGUCUGCAACUCGACUCCGUGAAGCUGGAAUCGCUAGUAAUCGGAUAUCAGCCAUGAUCCGGUGAAUACGU